rnacentral:lncRNA from 1 species
AAGCCCCCGGCACAACUAGGCGCAGCUGGCAGCCUCCCCGCGAUCCGGGCCCCACAACCGAUAAAGGGCGCAUGCUUCGUGCUUCCGGAGCGGGGUCGCCAGCCCGGGAUAGGGCAGGAACAGAAGGCUGGGAAGAGGCACAGCCAGUCCCGCACGCGCGGAAGGUGGGCGCGGUCGCUCCCAGCCCGCUCCGCCCUUUCUUCCCCUAGCUCCCCAGCCUGGGCUGCGCUCUCCGCUCCCCUUCUCCCCGCUGCGCCGCUGCUCUUGUAGGGAAAGCUGGGGGGAGAGGGGUGCGCGCUGGGUACGCGACGAGGAUAAGGAUGAAGCGCUGGGGGUGACGCGACGGGGGAAAGAGGGAGGGGACAGGUACGGAGUUGGGAAUACAAACGGCUGCCGAAUCGGCUAGCCUUGGGUACCACGGCACUCCUUAGAAGCUGACGCUUCGGCCGAGAGCCGCGGCUGGGCCCGGAGGGGCCGGCGCGCUCUUGAAUCCCUGAGCAGGAGCUGCCCCGCCUCCAGGAACCGAAACGCUGCCUCGCAGCGGUCCCGGUGCGCGCACCGGAGAGCACACCUGCCCCGCACACCUGCGAGAACACGUGUGCGCGCGCGCUGGAGGCUGCUUGCCCUGCCCUGGCCUUUCAGGAACCUGCUAGGACAGAUUCAGGGACCGCAAGUGCAGGCAGCGGCGGGACUCCGAGGCGAAGGACUCAGCUCAGAGCCUCCUCCCAGGGCCACAAAGCCGAAGUGCUUUCCUUCAGACUGCAGGGACCGGCGUCAGAGAGAUGCAGGCGCGGAGUUUAAUUCGGACUGCUCAUUUCUAGCCAGAUGUUUACAGAGGGGAGGGGGCGUCGUUGCCAGGACCCCCCCCCCCCACACACACACACGCACACGCCGGCGGGAAGUUCUGGGUGGAGGGAUUGCUGCUAUUGGCUGGGAGAUCUCACCGGGACCUCCGGCCAGGGCUUCUCUGACCCAACGCCUCUUGUGUUUCUCACAAUUAGCUUGA